CACGUAGGGGACGAGCGUUGUCCGGAUUCAUUGGGCGUAAAGGGCGCGUAGGCGGGCGAGCGAGUCGAAGGUGAAAUCCCACGGCCCAACCGUGGAAGUGCCCCCGAUACUGCUCGUCUGGAGGGAGAUAGGGGCGUGCGGAACUUCCGGUGGAGCGGUGAAAUGCGUGAGAUAUCGGAAAGGAACACCGGUGGCGAAAGCGGCGCGCUGGAUCUCUACUGACGCGUGAGGCGCGGAAAGCCAGGGGAGCAAACGGG
rnacentral:rRNA from 1 species